rnacentral:misc_RNA from 1 species
CUCUUCUUCUUCCUCUUCUUCCUCAUCUUCACCAUUUUCUUCAUCCCACCGAUACUCCUCAUCCCCUUCAGAGCUGCUUGACAGCUUCCUCUGUUUACGUCUCUUCAAGUAUUCCUCAUCAUAUACGGCUUCUCCAACUAUGUCAUCAUCACUGUCAAAGUCUGCAUCAUUAUCUGAGACUGCUUCAACAAACUCUUUUGCUGAAUACCGUUGAGGCCUCUGCCUUCGCCUAUUGCUUCGGUCCAAUAAUUCAGGUUUAUCCCCUUCAUCAAUGUCAUCAUAACCGGGUGAAUUGGGGGUUGUCAAACAGAAACUGCCUUGUUCAGAGGAAUGUGAAGGACCGGUCCAUUUACCAUUUGUUGAAGCUUCAGGUUUGAUAAUAACUUCUCUUCUGUAAAUAGGCUCUGGGGAUGGUGGUUUUCGCUUGGUUAUUUUAAUAGCCUCAUUGAUUGACCGGUCAUAAUCAUCAAAAGUAUAAGUAACAGGUUUUCUGUCACGAAGCGAGCGUCCUGGUGAGAGUCCAUCCACACUCAAAAAGUUAUCAAGAAGUAGAGCCUGUCUAUGUUGCUUUUUCAGCAACCUUUCUUUCCUCUUAUGAACCUUCUCAAUCUCAGGAAGCAUGUCGUUCUUUAGCUUCUUCCCUAAUGAGGCCUCUGUUCUAUUUUUACUUGCAAAAAGCUUCUCCUGCACCAACAGAUAGACAAAGCCAAAUAAGAAAAUACACUAAAUAAACAGCAAUAGUUGAAGAAUAUUGAAAAAUCAUGCCAGCAGCAACAAAUUUGAAAUUUUUCUAAACCUCAUUACACCAAAUGGCCGUACAAGAACCUGUUUCUUUAUCAAAACCAGGCAGGGGAAAAUGUCCUUAAAACACUUAUGUAAAGAAGGUAUAAUAAUGCAUAACUAAUCAGCAAAAUGGUACAAAAUUUGUCAACCAUUACGAUGUUGCUUCCAUCAACACAGCUCCCAAAAUUAUUUAAGUGAUACUCACAAGCAGAAUGACAGAAUCAAUUGCCAGUGAAAUACUUUCUUUCUUUUUUGUAAUCAACUGUAUAAAUUAUAGAAGAAAAUGCAAAAGAAAACCAUCAUUCAUGUACAAACAGAAAUGGACACAUAUCCUAUGAAAAAAGGGUAAUGAAACCACAAGAAAGUUGAUGUCCAACAACUUAACUACCAAAAGUUGUAUCAUACAACAACUAAAACAGUUAAAAACUUUUUAUUCAUUAAAAUUUUUUUAAAAUGAUCUAUAAUUCGUGUGCAUAUGGUACAUAUGUCUAUAUGUAUAAAAGAACUGACGGCAAGAGCAACCAUAUAGAGCAUGGAAGAAAAGGGUAGCAUCCUCAGAAAACCAAAAACUUAUUCAGUAGUCAGUACAAAUAAAAAUGACAACAAAGAAACCAGAAAAAGGAAAAUCUGUUCUAAAUAAAGCAAUUCCACCAGAAAAGAGAAACCCAGACAAUUCUAGAUCCUAGAAGUUCAAAGGUCACAGAGGAUAAUAAUGAUAUCUCAACUAGGCACUCAUUCAUAAAAUUAUUCCAGACAUCCUAAUAUGAGUCUACAAAUUCAGCAUGCAGCUACAAAUCCUAACAAUUAACUUGCAGCAUUCUGUUCUACAUAUUAUGGAUGUCUAUCACUUAAUAGUUAAUAUAUAUAUCGUGUGUUGCAUUUAUGUAAAAACCUUUUCAAUCUCAUAUUACUUCCUCAUGAAACUUUGAUAGGCAAAUUGCACUCCUUGUUUAUUUAUCCAAGGUUAAAGGAACAUACUAGGAGAACACCACUCAACAUACUGGCCCACAGAACAUUCAAGGUAGCUUCCUUAUCUAAGAUUCAUCUUCCACAUAUAAACUAAUUCUUCCAGGGAUUAAAAAAAAACGCUUGGCAUAUUUUUCUUAAGCUGCCCAGACUUGUUAAAACCCAAUACAACCUAAUCUCAAAUGUUAAGAAUUCCUCUUUCUUUGUAAUUGUAAUCCCUUCUCCACUAAGUCACUACCUAACAUUCUUAACAUCCAAAAUUUCAUUUGUCCCCUUUCAUCAGAAGUUUUGGUUUAUAGUUUUAAAGGUGCAGCAGAUGAAAGGGGCAAUUUACAUGGAUGGAUGGCAAUGUAACUAUGAAGAUUAAUGCAUAAUCACAAUUUUACUUCAUGCAUAUAGGCACAUCAAAACAUUUGCAAAUUACCAUAUAAAAACAACACAACAACAUACUCUCUUCUAAAUGAAAUGAUAGAUAUCUAAGAGCAUGCUUCAAGUCAUCAUGCAUACUAUUCAUUCUACAAUAUAAAAUAACAAAAAUAUGAAAGGGGAUCUUUUAUGGCGUAAAGAAAAUGCUUACUUCAAAACCCGUAGCCAGUAAUGAUUAUCAGAAUAUAUAUAAAAAUAUAGUAAAAAUAGAAAAUGCAUGGAAAUUUAAACAAGGCAGGUGUACAAAGACGGGCCAUUUAAGUAACAUACAGAGACAUCUUGAAAUUCAUCAAAAUUAGUUGCAACUGUUUCCCACUGGUAUGUGGCAUUGGGAAGGACCUGAGAACCUUUUGCCUUUCCCUUCUUCACCUCAACUUUUCUUAUUUCCCGGUAUAACCGAUGACCAAUUAUUGGAUCAUCUUCAUACCAGUAAUUAAUUCCUUGCGAAUCACCCCCGACGCGUUCUUUACGAAAUACAGAAAGUUGAAUACCAUGUUUAAUGGAGUUGUCUAUAUAAUUCCGAAUAUCUUCUUGCUGCAAAUAUCGCUCAGAUUCAAUUCCUUUACUAAUAUACCAAUAAAAAGAGGUAUAACAAAGUUAAUGAAUUUUCCAUAUACACUUAGAAUUAGAUACUGUAUAUAGGCUAUUUGUCGAAAUUAUGAAUUGACAAGAUAUUCAGAAUAUGGAUGUGAGCUAAAUAAAAAACGUACAGGGGAAACAUUCCUACAAACUAGAGCAAAGAUUUAAUCUUAAUUGAAAUUGUAGAAAUGCCCUAAGAUGUGAAGGAAUGCAAAGGUAUUACAAGUCUACAACUAGAAGAAUUCAAAGUAGUUGAACUAGGAGUAAAAUUAGGAAAUAAUUGCUAGAAGAAGCCAAAAAUGAAUGCUGGAUUGUCAUAAUAAUUAAGGAAGAAAAAGUUGAAGAAGAUGUUGCACAAACAAUAAACAGUCAGCUGCUUCUACAAUGCGCAUGUAAGCAUAAACAUAUGAAUACAUUCAAGAACUGAUCUAUAGGAUAUCUCAUAAAGUGAAAACUUGUGCCAAGACAACAAGGCCAGAUGUGUCCAAAAAAAAAUAAGAGAAAUUAUUUAUGAGAACAUUGAAUGGAACAGUUCUUUACCAACAUGAGUUGCACAACAGAGUGACGCGAAGAAAUUACAAAUAAAUACACCAGUCAGGACACAUUUAACUUAAAUUGAAGGGACAAGAAAACAACACAAGUCAAUGCACUUAGGAUUUGAGCUUUGUAAAAACCAUAAGAUCAACAACUAAAGGAAAACAUCUUAGAUGCAAUCAAAUCUUACAAGGAGAUUCAUUUAUCAGCACAAGUAAUUUGGAACCGAGCCCCAAUUAAGUUAACUUCUCCUUCUAAAAAUAUCCAACUCCAUUAUGAAUAGUGCAAUAUUUGGUCCAUGAAUCAGUAUAUAUUAUAAUAUUAUAAUGCUCAUUUAAGCUUUAAUAAGAUUCAGUAGAAAGUUGAGUGUAGAAAGAAAUUUAAAAAAUAACAUUGUAGGCAGCAAGCAAACAUCCAAUAAUACCUCAACACGAAUGUCACAUAGCGCUUUCAAGAUCACCACACGGACCCCAGGAUCAAGAGUUUUAUACACUUCAAUCUCAACCCCAUGUGACGCAACUAUGGGAAGUUCCCCAUCUGCAACCCAGUGCCACCAGUCUCUUAAUUUUCUGCACAAAACAGUGAUCCAAGUAUCUCGUGUAAGGGCAAUCCGGGUAAUAGGAGGGAUUGCCUUUAGCAAGGGCAUGUGAAUAUCUCCCAAAGUGUCAUUUGGUGUAAUCAAAGCUGUCUCGAACUCCUCGGCUGAAAACUCAACCUGUAUAUUCAAUAAAGGCCUAAAUACAUGCAAGAAAUUAAGUACGGAAGCUAAUUCCCACAUGGAGCGGAGGCUCCACCUCGGCAAC